rnacentral:rRNA from 1 species
AUUGAACGCUGGCGGCAGGCCUAACACAUGCAAGUCGAACGGUAACAGGAAGAAGCUUGCUUCUUUGCUGACGAGUGGCGGACGGGUGAGUAAUGUCUGGGAAACUGCCUGAUGGAGGGGGAUAACUACUGGAAACGGUAGCUAAUACCGCAUAACGUCGCAAGACCAAAGAGGGGGACCUUCGGGCCUCUUGCCAUCGGAUGUGCCCAGAUGGGAUUAGCUAGUAGGUGGGGUAACGGCUCACCUAGGCGACGAUCCCUAGCUGGUCUGAGAGGAUGACCAGCCACACUGUAACUGAGACACGGUCCAGACUCCUACGGGAGGCAGCAGUGGGGAAUAUUGCACAAUGGGCGCAAGCCUGAUGCAGCCAUGCCGCGUGUAUGAAGAAGGCCUUCGGGUUGUAAAGUACUUUCAGCGGGGAGGAAGGGAGUAAAGUUAAUACCUUUGCUCAUUGACGUUACCCGCAGAAGAAGCACCGGCUAACUCCGUG